rnacentral:rRNA from 1 species
UACGUAGGGUGCAAGCGUUAAUCGGAAUUACUGGGCGUAAAGCGUGCGCAGGCGGUUAUGCAAGACAGAUGUGAAAUCCCCGGGCUUAACCUGGGAACUGCAUUUGUGACUGCAUGGCUGGAGUGCGGCAGAGGGGGAUGGAAUUCCGCGUGUAGCAGUGAAAUGCGUAGAUAUGCGGAGGAACACCGGUGGCGAAGGCGACAUCCUGGACCGGUAUUGACGCUGAGGCGCGAAAGCCAGGGGAGCAAACGGG